rnacentral:rRNA from 1 species
AGAGUUUGAUCCUGGCUCAGAUUGAACGCUGGCGGCAUGCCUUACACAUGCAAGUCGAACGGUAACGCGGGGCAACCUGGCGACGAGUGGCGAACGGGUGAGUAAUAUAUCGGAACGUGCCCAGUAGUGGGGGAUAGCCCGGCGAAAGCCGGAUUAAUACCGCAUGAGACCUGAGGGUGAAAGCGGGGAAUCGCAAGACCUCGCGCUAUUGGAGCGGCCGAUAUCAGAUUAGGUAGUUGGUGGGGUAAAGGCCUACCAAGCCGACGAUCUGUAGCUGGUCUGAGAGGACGACCAGCCACACUGGGACUGAGACACGGCCCAGACUCCUACGGGAGGCAGCAGUGGGGAAUUUUGGACAAUGGGCGCAAGCCUGAUCCAGCCAUGCCGCGUGCGGGAAGAAGCCUUCGGGUUGUAAACCGCUUUUGUCAGGGAAGAAAUCUUCUGGUUAAUACCUCGGGAGGAUGACGGUACCUGAAGAAUAAGCACCGGCUAACUACGUGCCAGCAGCCCGCGGUAAUACGUAGGGUGCGAGCCGUUAAUCGGAAUUGCUGGGCGUAAAGCGUGCGCAGGCGGUCUUGCAAGACAGGUGUGAAAUCCCCGGCUUAACCUGGGAACUGCACUUGUGACUGCAAGGCUUGGAGUACCGCAGAGGGGGAUGGAAUUCCGCGUGUAGCAAUGAAAUGCGUAGAUAUGCNGAGG